AAUGGCCGAAAGGCUGACGCAGCAACGCCGCGUGGGUGAAGAAGGCCUUCGGGUUGUAAAGCCCUUUUGGCAGGGGUGAAAAAAAUGACGGUACCUGCAGAAAAAGCACCGGCAAACCAUGUGCCAGCAGCCGCGGUAAUACAUGGGGUGCAAGCGUUACUCGGAAUCACUGGGCGUAAAGAGCGCGUAGGCGGCUUGGUAAGUCUGAUGUGAAAGCCCCGGACUCAAUUCGGGAAGUGCAUUGGAUACUGCUAAGCUAGAGUACAGGAGAGGUGAACGGAAUUCCUGGUGUAGAGGUGAAAUUCGUAGAUAUCAGGAGGAACAACAGUGGCGAAGGCGGUUCACUGGACUGUCACUGACGCUGAGGCGCGAAAGCGUGGGGAGCAAA
rnacentral:rRNA from 1 species